AUUGAACGCUGGCGGCAUGCUUUACACAUGCAAGUCGAACGGUAACAGGGAGCUUGCUCCGCUGACGAGUGGCGAACGGGUGAGUAAUAUAUCGGAACGUACCCAGAAGUGGGGGAUAACGUAGCGAAAGUUACGCUAAUACCGCAUACGAUCCACGGAUGAAAGUAGGGGACCUUCGGGCCUUAUGCUUUUGGAGCGGCCGAUAUCUGAUUAGCUAGUUGGUGAGGUAAAGGCUCACCAAGGCGACGAUCAGUAGCUGGUCUGAGAGGACGACCAGCCACACUGGAACUGAGACACGGUCCAGACUCCUACGGGAGGCAGCAGUGGGGAAUUUUGGACAAUGGGCGCAAGCCUGAUCCAGCAAUGCCGCGUGUGUGAAGAAGGCCUUCGGGUUGUAAAGCUCUUUUGUCAGGGAAGAAACGGUAGAGGCUAAUAUCCUUUGCUAAUGACGGUACCUGAAGAAUAAGCACCGGCUAACUACGUGCCAGCCGCCGCGGUAAGAC
rnacentral:rRNA from 1 species